rnacentral:rRNA from 1 species
CCCUGGUAGUCCACGCCGUAAACGAUGUCGACUUGGAGGUUGUGCCCUUGAGGCGUGGCUUCCGGAGCUAACGCGUUAAGUCGACCGCCUGGGGAGUACGGCCGCAAGGUUAAAACUCAAAUGAAUUGACGGGGGCCCGCACAAGCGGUGGAGCAUGUGGUUUAAUUCGAUGCAACGCGAAGAACCUUACCUACUCUUGACAUCCAGAGAACUUUCCAGAGAUGGAUUGGUGCCUUCGGGAACUCUGAGACAGGUGCUGCAUGGCUGUCGUCAGCUCGUGUUGUGAAAUGUUGGGUUAAGUCCCGCAACGAGCGCAACCCUUAUCCUUUGUUGCCAGCGGUUCGGCCGGGAACUCAAAGGAGACUGCCAGUGAUAAACUGGAGGAAGGUGGGGAUGACGUCAAGUCAUCAUGGCCCUUACGAGUAGGGCUACACACGUGCUACAAUGGCGCAUACAAAGAGAAGCGACCUCGCGAGAGCAAGCGGACCUCAUAAAGUGCGUCGUAGUCCGGAUUGGAGUCUGCAACUCGACUCCAUGAAGUCGGAAUCGCUAGUAAUCGUAGAUCAGAAUGCUACGGUGAAUACGUUCCCGGGCCUUGUACACACCGCCCGUCACACCAUGGGAGUGGGUUGCAAAAGAAGUAGGUAGCUUAACCUUCGGGAGGGCGCUUACCACUUUGUGAUUCAUGACUGGGGUGA